rnacentral:lncRNA from 1 species
UGCUAUAGGAGUCAGCAUGGUGAAAAGGUUAGCUUUCCAUGCUCAGCUCGACAUUAGUAUUGUGUUUUUAUUGGUACUAACUGUGUUAUACUUUGUCUGUUGCAAGAUGCAUCGUUUUGUCAUGGCACCUUUAGAGUACAGUCAACUUCUUCCUAUAUAAUUGGUAAGCUACACUGUUCUUUAGUCUUUGUGGGCGACAUUGAUAUUCUGUUUGUUAUUGAUACUAACUUUAUUAGUUUUUGUCUUGUAACGAGAUGCAUAUGGUACUUUUACGGCAAAGUCGACGGAACUGGGUAAGCUGCACUGUUCUUUAGUCUUUUGGUUUUGGAAUGGAGUUCUACAGUUUGUCAGCUCAACAUUGAUAUUGUGUUUUUUUUUCUAUGACGAGAUGCAUCCAACUUGUUCCUAUAAAACUGGUAAGCUGCACUAUUCUUUAGGCUUUUGUUUUGGAAUGGAGUUUGCCUCAGCUGUAUUGAGGAUUCUUCUGUAAUUCGCUGAUGUGAUUGUGAAUUUCUUAUUGGGAUUUUUUCAGACUUCCAAGGGAGGCUUUCUGAGUUGGAAUUUCAGGUAUGCCAUUGUUCUGUAAUGAAGCUAUGGACAUGGUUUGCAGCAGAUGUGUCCAGUUUGUGGUCUGAAUGAAGCUAUGGACAUGGUUGACCAUAUAACAUCACAGCACGGAGGCAUGUUUUAAGAUAUCCUUGGCAGUCGGCACCAUUCUGUAUUCUAUUAUGUUGGCCCUGAUGUGUACUUGUAUGGAUGAUGAUAUUGCUCAAGGAGCGGAGGAUUGAGUUUAGUUUGUACUUUGUACAGAUGGAGUUUUGAUGUUCAGCAAUGACUCGUGAGCUCUCAUUCUGGAGAAUAACGGAUGAAGAAUUUGCAGCUUCUAGUUCAACAAAUGAAAAGUAAUUCUUUUUUUACAUGUGUUCAUAGGAAUAUGUUUGUAGAAACUAGAAACUGUGUACUCCAAGUGCCUUUUCACAACACUGGAUUGGAUUCUUUUAAUUGAAGUAACUAAUAAGCUAUCAUCACAUUUCAUCAUCAUCAAUUGAAAACCACAUUACAUUGUUGUUUGUCUGUCUAAUUCACAUUCUCUACAAAAGCAAACUAAAAAUCGUAACUCUCCUUCCUUGUCUAAUUUGUCACAGUAUAUUCCACACCUUCAAGCAAUUCAAUAUAACAAAGGAUGCACCGUAGCCAUCCAUUUUCAUUGCUGCUCCUGCUGUUAACAAGUUUGAUGUCAGGGAUCCACAAAUGGCUAUUCCAUUCCAUAGCUGCUGUUAAUCAGCCACCCCGCUGAGAGGAACUCCCCUGAUCAACAAAGGCAAAGCCACAACGAUCAUAAUAAACUACCCAGAAAUCAAAAUCUAACAAAAUCAAUCACACCACCAGUAGCUU